rnacentral:rRNA from 1 species
UACGUAGGGUGCAAGCGUUGUCCGGAAUUAUUGGGCGUAAAGGGCUUCUAGGCGGUUUGUCACGUCGACUGUGAAAACUCGGGGCUCAACCCCGAGCCUGCAGUCGAUACGGGCAGACUAGAAUUCGGUAGGGGAGAUCGGAAUUCCUGGUGUAGCGGUGAAAUGCGCAGAUAUCAGGAGGAACACCGGUGGCGAAGGCGGAUCUCUGGGCCGAUAUUGACGCUGAAGAGCGAAAGCGUGGGGAGCAAACAGG